rnacentral:rRNA from 1 species
GGUUAAGCGACUAAGCGUACACGGUGGAUGCCCUGGCAGUCAGAGGCGAUGAAGGACGUGCUAAUCUGCGAAAAGCGCCGGCGAGGUGAUAUGAACCUUUGACCCGGCGAUGUCCGAAUGGGGAAACCCAGUGUGUUCCGACACACUAUCGUUAACUGAAUACAUAGGUUAACGAGGCGAACCGGGGGAACUGAAACAUCUAAGUACCCCGAGGAAAAGAAAUCAACCGAGAUUCCCCCAGUAGCGGCGAGCGAACGGGGAGCAGCCCAGAGUCUGAAUCAGCUUGUGUGUUAGUGGAAGCGUCUGGAAAGUCGCACGGUACAGGGUGACAGUCCCGUACACGAAAGCACACAGGUUGUGAACUCAAAGAGUAGGGCGGGACACGUGGUAUCCUGUCUGAAUAUGGGGGGACCAUCCUCCAAGGCUAAAUACUCCUGACUGACCGAUAGUGAACCAGUACCGUGAGGGAAAGGCGAAAAGAACCCCGGCGAGGGGAGUGAAAUAGAACCUGAAACCGUGUACGUACAAGCAGUGGGAGCACCUUCGUGGUGUGACUGCGUACCUUUUGUAUAAUGGGUCAGCGACUUAUAUUCUGUAGCAAGGUUAACCGUAUAGGGGAGCCGAAGGGAAACCGAGUCUUAACUGGGCGUUAAGUUGCAGGGUAUAGACCCGAAACCCGGUGAUCUAGCCAUGGGCAGGUUGAAGGUUGGGUAACACUAACUGGAGGACCGAACCGACUAAUGUUGAAAAAUUAGCGGAUGACUUGUGGCUGGGGGUGAAAGGCCAAUCAAACCGGGAGAUAGCUGGUUCUCCCCGAAAGCUAUUUAGGUAGCGCCUCGUGAACUCAUCUUCGGGGGUAGAGCACUGUUUCGGCUAGGGGGCCAUCCCGGCUUACCAACCCGAUGCAAACUACGAAUACCGAAGAAUGUUAUCACGGGAGACACACGGCGGGUGCUAACGUCCGUCGUGAAGAGGGAAACAACCCAGACCGCCAGCUAAGGUCCCAAAGUCAUGGUUAAGUGGGAAACGAUGUGGGAAGGCACAGACAGCCAGGAUGUUGGCUUAGAAGCAGCCAUCAUUUAAAGAAAGCGUAAUAGCUCACUGGUCGAGUCGGCCUGCGCGGAAGAUGUAACGGGGCUAAACCAUGCACCGAAGCUGCGGCAGCGACACUAUGUGUUGUUGGGUAGGGGAGCGUUCUGUAAGCCGUUGAAGGUGGCCUGUGAGGGUUGCUGGAGGUAUCAGAAGUGCGAAUGCUGACAUAAGUAACGAUAAAGCGGGUGAAAAGCCCGCUCGCCGGAAGACCAAGGGUUCCUGUCCAACGUUAAUCGGGGCAGGGUGAGUCGACCCCUAAGGCGAGGCCGAAAGGCGUAGUCGAUGGGAAACAGGUUAAUAUUCCUGUACUUGGUGUUACUGCGAAGGGGGGACGGAGAAGGCUAUGUUAGCCGGGCGACGGUUGUCCCGGUUUAAGCAUGUAGGCGGAACGAUUAGGUAAAUCCGGUCGUUUUUUAACGCUGAGGUGUGAUGACGAGGCACUACGGUGCUGAAGUAACAAAUGCCCUGCUUCCAGGAAAAGCCUCUAAGCAUCAGGUAACAUCAAAUCGUACCCCAAACCGACACAGGUGGUCAGGUAGAGAAUACCAAGGCGCUUGAGAGAACUCGGGUGAAGGAACUAGGCAAAAUGGUGCCGUAACUUCGGGAGAAGGCACGCUGAUAUGUAGGUGAAGCCCCUGCGGGUGGAGCUGAAAUCAGUCGAAGAUACCAGCUGGCUGCAACUGUUUAUUAAAAACACAGCACUGUGCAAACACGAAAGUGGACGUAUACGGUGUGACGCCUGCCCGGUGCCGGAAGGUUAAUUGAUGGGGUUAGCGGCAACGCGAAGCUCUUGAUCGAAGCCCCGGUAAACGGCGGCCGUAACUAUAACGGUCCUAAGGUAGCGAAAUUCCUUGUCGGGUAAGUUCCGACCUGCACGAAUGGCGUAAUGAUGGCCAGGCUGUCUCCACCCGAGACUCAGUGAAAUUGAACUCGCUGUGAAGAUGCAGUGUACCCGCGGCAAGACGGAAAGACCCCGUGAACCUUUACUAUAGCUUGACACUGAACACUGGUCCUUGAUGUGUAGGAUAGGUGGGAGGCUUUGAAGUGUGGACGCCAGUCUGCAUGGAGCCGUCCUUGAAAUACCACCCUUUAAUGGCUGGUGUUCUAACGUAGACCCGUAAUCCGGGUUGCGGACAGUGUCUGGUGGGUAGUUUGACUGGGGCGGUCUCCUCCCAAAGAGUAACGGAGGAGCACGAAGGUUAGCUAAUCCUGGUCGGACAUCAGGAGGUUAGUGCAAUGGCAUAAGCUAGCUUGACUGCGAGAGUGACGGCUCGAGCAGGUGCGAAAGCAGGUCAUAGUGAUCCGGUGGUUCUGAAUGGAAGGGCCAUCGCUCAACGGAUAAAAGGUACUCCGGGGAUAACAGGCUGAUACCGCCCAAGAGUUCAUAUCGACGGCGGUGUUUGGCACCUCGAUGUCGGCUCAUCACAUCCUGGGGCUGAAGUAGGUCCCAAGGGUAUGGCUGUUCGCCAUUUAAAGUGGUACGCGAGCUGGGUUUAGAACGUCGUGAGACAGUUCGGUCCCUAUCUGCCGUGGGCGCUGGAGAAUUGAGGGGGGCUGCUCCUAGUACGAGAGGACCGGAGUGGACGCAUCACUGGUGUUCGGGUUGUCAUGCCAAUGGCACUGCCCGGUAGCUAAAUGCGGAAAAGAUAAGUGCUGAAAGCAUCUAAGCACGAAACUUGCCCCGAGAUGAGUUCUCCCUGAGACUUUAAGUCUCCUGAAGGAACGUUGAAGACGACGACGUUGAUAGGUCGGGUGUGUAAGCGCAGCGAUGCGUUGAGCUAACCGAUACUAAUGAACCGUGAGGCUUAACCUU